AUCCCAGUUCCCUUAAUUGCAUCCAAGUGUCCUCCAAUUUGCCUCCUCCACUUGCGUCUUAGUCCCUCCCACCAGAGAUGCAUGGAGAGAGGCAAGGAAACGAAGCAGAGGAGACAGGAAAUGAGGAGAUAUGUUUUAAGAGACAUGAGACGUCCUUUCCUCCACAGCGUCACGUGAAGCGACGUCAGUUUUCUCUUUAAGUUACCUGAUAAGAAACACCUGAAGAACAACCUGAAGUCUGCUUCAAACCAAAAGGACAAUUUCUACUGACAAAAACAUUUAAUAUUGAAUUGUUUAUUUAUUAUCUUUAUUUGUUUUGACUAAUAAUGUGAUAAUGAACUCUGUAUUUCAUAACCAGAUAUUUUAUGAUGUCUUAGGAAUACUGGAAAUUAUUUAUUAAGUUCUCAAUAGAGAA